rnacentral:rRNA from 1 species
CCUACGGGGGACUGCAGUCGAGAAUCAUUCACAAUGGGGGAAACCCUGAUGGUGCGACGCCGCGUGGGGGAAUGAAGGUCUUCGGAUUGUAAACCCCUGUCAUGUGGGAGCAAAUUAAAAAGAUAGUACCACAAGAGGAAGAGACGGCUAACUCUGUGCCAGCAGCCGCGGUAAUACAGAGGUCUCAAGCGUUGUUCGGAAUCACUGGGCGUAAAGCGUGCGUAGGCUGUUUCGUAAGUCGUGUGUGAAAGGCGCGGGCUCAACCCGCGGACGGCACAUGAUACUGCGAGAAUAGAGUAAGGGAGGGGGAACCGGAAUUCUCGGUGUAGCAGUGAAAUGCGUAGAUAUCGAGAGGAACACUCGUGGCGAAGGCGGGUUCCUGGACAUUAACUGACGCGGAGGCACGAAGGCCAGGGGAGCGAAAGGGAUUAGAUACACCUGUAGUC